AUUGAACGCUGGCGGCAGGCCUAACACAUGCAAGUCGAACGAGUGGCGGACGGGUGAGUAAUGUCUGGGAAACUGCCUGAUGGAGGGGGAUAACUACUGGAAACGGUAGCUAAUACCGCAUACCAUCAGAUGUGCCCAGCUGGGAUUAGCUAGUUGGUGGGGUAACGGCUCACAAAGGCGACGAUCCCUAGCUUGUCUGGGAGGAUGACCACCACCCCUGGAAUGGAGCACCGGUCCAGCUUCUUACGGAAGGAACAAGUGGGGAUUAUUGCACAAUGGCGGCAAGCCUGCUGCAGCCAUGCGGCGUGUAUGAAGAGGGCCUUCGGGUUGUAAAGUCCUUUCAGCGGGGAGGCGUUACCCGCAGAAGAAGCACCGGCUAACUCCGUGCCAGCAGCCGCGGUAAUUC
rnacentral:rRNA from 1 species